UACGGGGGGAGCAAGCGUUGUUCGGAUUUACUGGGCGUAAAGGGCGCGUAGGCGGCGUGGUAAGUCACUUGUGAAAUCUCUGAGCUUAACUCAGAACGGCCAAGUGAUACUGCUGUGCUAGAGUGCAGAAGGGGCAAUCGGAAUUCUUGGUGUAGCGGUGAAAUGCGUAGAUAUCAAGAGGAACACCUGAGGUGAAGACGGGUUGCUGGGCUGACACUGACGCUGAGGCGCGAAAGCCAGGGGAGCAAACGGG
rnacentral:rRNA from 1 species